rnacentral:misc_RNA from 1 species
GAAAUGCGAUAAGUAAUGUGAAUUGCAGAAUUCAGUGAAUCAUCGAAUCUUUGAACGCACAUUGCGCCCGCCAGUAUUCUGGCGGGCAUGCCUGUUCGAGCGUCAUUUCAACCCUCAAGCUCAGCUUGGUGUUGGGGAUCGGCAGGGCGUCCUCCGGGUCGCGCCGUCCCCCAAAUAUAGUGGCGGUCUCGCUGUAGCUUCCUCUGCGUAGUAAUACACCUCGCACUGGAGUCUCGGCGCGGCCACGCCGUUAAACCCCCAACUUUUUCUGGUUGACCUCGAAUCAGGUAGGACUACCCGCUGAACUUAAGC